rnacentral:rRNA from 1 species
ACUCAAAGGAAUAGACGGGGACCCGCACAAGCAGCGGAGCAUGUGGUUUAAUUCGAAGCAACGCGAAAAACCUUACCAAGACUUGACAUCCUGUGCCGUACUUAGAGAUAAGUACUUCCUUCGGGACACAGAGACAGGUGGUGCAUGGUUGUCGUCAGCUCGUGUCGUGAGAUGUUGGGUUAAGUCCCGCAACGAGCGCAACCCUUAUUACUAGUUGCCAAUAUUAAGUUAGGAACUCUAGUAAGACUGCCGUAGAUAAUACGGAGGAAGGUGGGGAUGACGUCAAAUCAUCAUGCCCCUUACGUCUUGGGCUACACACGUGCUACAAUGGCUAUUACAAAGAGCAGCAAUAUCGUAAGAUGGAGCGAAUCUCAAAAAGAUAGUCUCAGUUCGGAUUGAGGGCUGCAACUCGCCCUCAUGAAGUCGGAGUUGCUAGUAAUCCCAAAUCAGCAUGUUGGGGUGAAUGCGUUCCCGGGUCUUGUACACACCGCCCGU